rnacentral:rRNA from 1 species
UACGGGGGGGGGCAAGCGUUGUUCGGAAUUACUGGGCGUAAAGGGCUCGUAGGUGGCCAACUAAGUCAGACGUGAAAUCCCUCGGCUUAACCAAGGAAGUGCAUCCGAAACUGCAGAGCUUGAGUACUUAAGAGGAUCGCGGAAUUCCCGGUGUAGAGGUGAAAUUCGUAGAUAUCGGGAGGAACACCAGUGGCGAAGGCGGCGAUCUGGGAAGAUACUGACGCUGAGGCGCGACAGCGUGGGGAGCGAACUGG